AGAGUUUGAUCAUGGCUCAGGACGAACGCUGGCGGCACGCUUAACACAUGCAAGUCGAACGAGAGAAGAGGAGCUUGCUUUUCUGAUCUAGUGGCGGACGGGUGAGUAACACGUGAGCAAUCUGCCUUUCAGAGGGGGAUACCGAUUGGAAACGAUCGUUAAUACCGCAUAACAUAAUUGAACCGCAUGAUUUGAUUAUCAAAGAUUUAUCGCUGAAAGAUGAGCUCGCGUCUGAUUAGCUAGUUGGUAAGGUAACGGCUUACCAAGGCGACGAUCAGUAGCCGGACUGAGAGGUUGAUCGGCCACAUUGGGACUGAGACACGGCCCAGACUCCUACGGGAGGCAGCAGUGGGGAAUAUUGCACAAUGGAGGAAACUCUGAUGCAGCGAUGCCGCGUGAGGGAAGAAGGUUUUAGGAUUGUAAACCUCUGUCCUCAGGGACGAAAAAAGACGGUACCUGAGGAGGAAGCUCCGGCUAACUACGUGCCAGCAGCCGCGGUAAUACGUAGGGAGCGAGCGUUGUCCGGAAUUACUGGGUGUAAAGGGAGCGUAGGCGGGAUCGCAAGUCAGAUGUGAAAACUAUGGGCUUAACCCAUAAACUGCAUUUGAAACUGUGGUUCUUGAGUGAAGUAGAGGUAAGCGGAAUUCCUAGUGUAGCGGUGAAAUGCGUAGAUAUUAGGAGGAACAUCAGUGGCGAAGGCGGCUUACUGGGCUUUAACUGACGCUGAGGCUCGAAAGCGUGGGGAGCAAACAGGAUUAGAUACCCUGGUAGUCCACGCCGUAAACGAUGAUUACUAGGUGUGGGGGGACUGACCCCUUCCGUGCCGCAGCAAACGCAAUAAGUAAUCCACCUGGGGAGUACGACCGCAAGGUUGAAACUCAAAGGAAUUGACGGGGGCCCGCACAAGCAGUGGAGUAUGUGGAUUAAUUCGAAGCAACGCGAAGAACCUUACCAGGUCUUGACAUCGUAUGCAUAGCUCAGAGAUGAGUGAAAUCUCUUCGGAGACAUAUAGACAGGUGGUGCAUGGUUGUCGUCAGCUCGUGUCGUGAGAUGUUGGGUUAAGUCCCGCAACGAGCGCAACCCUUACUGUUAGUUGCUACGCAAGAGCACUCUAGCAGGACUGCCGUUGACAAAACGGAGGAAGGUGGGGAUGACGUCAAAUCAUCAUGCCCCUUAUGACCUGGGCCUCACACGUACUACAAUGGCUGUCAACAGAGGGAAGCGAAGCCGCGAGGUGGAGCGAACCCCUAAAAGCAGUCUUAGUUCGGAUUGUAGGCUGCAACCCGCCUACAUGAAGUCGGAAUUGCUAGUAAUCGCAGAUCAGCAUGCUGCGGUGAAUACGUUCCCGGGCCUUGUACACACCGCCCGUCACGCCAUGGGAGUCGGUAACACCCGAAGCCUGUAGUCUAACCGCAAGGAGGACGCAGUCGAAGGUGGGAUUGAUGACUGGGGUGAAGUCGUAACAAGGUA
rnacentral:rRNA from 1 species